ACAUUAGCAGAAGAGCAGGACAAUGCGCUAUGGAGCUGAGUUGAAAUUCUUGAAGGUUCUGAAUCUUCACUGUUGGGUUUUUAUAUAGCAACCAGCAGAUUUAACAUUUUCAAAGGAAUGUGAUUAGGAGGUCCUCUUAGCAUUGCUAUUAAAAUUCUGUCUCUCUUUGUGCACUUACAGCUUGUGUUAUGUUUUCCACCUCUGUUGGCUUUUACAUCCAUACUAUAUGUUAAAACACAUAUUUCAGUAGCUUAAUAAUGUAGGGUGUCGACUGUUUUCUUUGCUCGUUAUUCCUCUGUCCAUGCUGUGGUGUAUGAUGUAUUCAAAUGGCAUAGCUAAUGAUUCUGUUGUCAGAUCGUGCUGAACAAUUAUGGCAUCCCUUCUCCACCAGACUGUACUUCGAAAAAUAACUAUAUAUGUCCAUUAUAGCAUCCUUUCUUACAUACACCUCAUGUGCGGUUCUAUAGCUGUAAUUUAGUGUUACUGAAUUUCAGUCGAGAUCGUGAUGAAUCCAUGCAAGUCGCAGACGAGUGCGGGGUCUGCUUGAAGAAACAAAUGAACAUAUAUGGUUCUCUUCAACUUAGAUUGAAGACUGUCUUCGGGACCUUUUAAUAAAUGAAAUACAUUAAAAAAAUUCAGCUCUUCAACGACACUGAAAAUAGCCUCAGCUGUUUGAGCUGCAUCUGGUUGUUGCGGAGAGGUACCUUAUUUAUUCUAUUAUUAUUUAUUAUUUACUCUGUGAAUAAACACUUGCAUAGGUCUGACUAACUGCACAUGAAAACAAAGAUGAAAGAGUGAAACGUUUGGAGGUGGAAAAUUUCUGUUUUAACGACGAAGCCCCAGGGACCAACAGUGCAUGCUCACUAAGUUAUCACGUAGCAAUUUGAGCCCCAUGUAAGCACCAUGCUAGUGGCGCUAUAUAUAGUCUCUGUAGUGCAGAAGAAUCGCGGUGAACCACGGACACCUGCAGAGGUCUGCAUGUGGUUGCCAUGGAAGUCGGCAUGGUCUACAUACAGUAGUGGGGCGGGUGUGCCACAUGGCCACCUCUGGCAUUAGUACGGAAGAAGCCAUGCGUCAUGUACUCUGCACAUGUUCUAUAUAGCGUACCCCACUGUGUAGUGCAGGAAGAAUUGAUUGGGUGAACUGAGUGCAUCGCACCGGGUCUUCUUGUAGAGUAAUCAAACACAUGUGCCAGUUGCUGGGCAUUGUAGAUUGCCGCGUCGCUGCACAUGAUGAACUGUAAUACGUGCUGUGUAAGGACGCUGUACUCGUCACAUAAAAUUUGGGAGCAUUGCUUGGCUUUGCUUUAAGCGGGAAAGUGUGUAACACGUUCCACAAUUUUUGGUUGUUUCUGGAUGGUUUCAACGAUUAAUAAAAACGUCACUCACUUGGACUGUGACCAA
rnacentral:lncRNA from 1 species